rnacentral:piRNA from 1 species
UCAGGCUAGGGGACAUGCGAUGAGGAAGC